CUCGGAUACCGUAGUAACACUAGAGCUAAUACGUGCGUAAAUCCCGACUUUUUGAAGGGACGUAUUUAUUAGAUUUAUGGCUAACCGGACUUUGUCCGACCAGCGGUGAAUCAUGGUAACUUGACGGAUUGCAUGGCCUCCGUGCCGGCGACGUGUCAUUCAAGUUUCUGCCCCAUCAGGUUUCGACUGUAGUGUAUUGGACUACAGUGCCUAUAACGGGUAGCGGAGGAUUAGGGUUCGAUUCCGGAGAGGGAGCCUGAGAAACGGCUACCACAUCCAAGGAAGGCAGCAGGCGCGCAAAUUACCCAAUCCCAAUUCAGGGAGGUAGUGACAAGAAAUAACAAUGCUGGGGCAAUUCGCUUCUGCAAUUGGAAUGAGAACAACUUAAACCACUUAACGAGUACCAAUUGGAGGGCAAGUCUGGUGCCAGCAGCCGCGGUAAUUCCAGCUCCAAUAGCGUAUAUGUAAGUUGUUGCGAUUAAAAAGCCCGUAGCUGAACCUCGGACUUCCCUGCCGGUCCGCAUUAUGUGGGUACUGUCGUGGGUUGUCUUUCUGAUAAGUCCGUAUCCAGGUGUUUAUUCGCCUGAAACGUGGUUUAUCAAGGUUACUUUGAGUAAAAUAGAGUGUUCAAAGCAAGCACGCGCUGUGAAUACACUAGCAUGGGAUAACACGACAUGACCGAUGGUCUAUCUUGUUGGCCUGUAGAUCUGUUGGUAAUGGCUAAUAGGGACGGUCGGGGGCAUUCGUAUUUCGCUGUCAGAGGUGAAAUUCUUAGAUUUGCGAAAGACGAACUACUGCGAAAGCAUUUGCCAAGG
rnacentral:rRNA from 1 species